rnacentral:tRNA from 1 species
GGCGGGAUAGCUCAGUCGGUCAGAGCGCACGACUCAUAAUCGUGAGGUCGCGGGUUCAAACCCCGCUCCCGCUA